GAUGAACGCUGGCGGCGUGCCUAAUACAUGCAAGUCGAGCGAAUGGAUUAAGAGCUUGCUCUUAUGAAGUUAGCGGCGGACGGGUGAGUAACACGUGGGUAACCUGCCCAUAAGACUGGGAUAACUCCGGGAAACCGGGGCUAAUACCGGAUAACAUUUUGAACCGCAUGGUUCGAAAUUGAAAGGCGGCUUCGGCUGUCACUUAUGGAUGGACCCGCGUCGCAUUAGCUAGUUGGUGAGGUAACGGCUCACCAAGGCAACGAUGCGUAGCCGACCUGGGAGGGUGAUCGGCCACACUGGGACUGAGACACGGCCCAGACUCCUACGGGAGGCAGCAGGAGGGAAUCUUCCGCAAUGGACGAAAGUCAGACGGAGCAACGCCGCGUGAGUGAUGAAGGCUAUCGGGUCGUAAAACUCUGUUGUUAGGGAAGAACAAGUGCUAGUUGAAUAAGCUGGCACCUCGACGGUACCUAACCAGAAAAAGCACCGGCUAACUACGUGCCAGCAGCCGCGGUAA
rnacentral:rRNA from 1 species